rnacentral:rRNA from 1 species
AUGAACGCUAGCUACAGGCUUAACACAUGCAAGUCGAGGGGCAGCAUGGUCUUAGCUUGCUAAGGCUGAUGGCGACCGGCGCACGGGUGAGUAACACGUAUCCAACCUGCCGUCUACUCUUGGCCAGCCUUCUGAAAGGAAGAUUAAUCCAGGAUGGCAUCAUGAGUUCACAUGUCCGCAUGAUUAAAGGUAUUUUCCGGUAGACGAUGGGGAUGCGUUCCAUUAGAUAGUAGGCGGGGUAACGGCCCACCUAGUCAACGAUGGAUAGGGGUUCUGAGAGGAAGGUCCCCCACAUUGGAACUGAGACACGGUCCAAACUCCUACGGGAGGCAGCAGUGAGGAAUAUUGGUCAAUGGGCGAUGGCCUGAACCAGCCAAGUAGCGUGAAGGAUGACUGCCCUAUGGGUUGUAAACUUCUUUUAUAAAGGAAUAAAGUCGGGUAUGCAUACCCGUUUGCAUGUACUUUAUGAAUAAGGAUCGGCUAACUCCGUGCCAGCAGCCGCGGUAAUACGGAGGAUCCGAGCGUUAUCCGGAUUUAUUGGGUUUAAAGGGAGCGUAGAUGGAUGUUUAAGUCAGUUGUGAAAGUUUGCGGCUCAACCGUAAAAUUGCAGUUGAUACUGGAUGUCUUGAGUGCAGUUGAGGCAGGCGGAAUUCGUGGUGUAGCGGUGAAAUGCUUAGAUAUCACGAAGAACUCCGAUUGCGAAGGCAGCCUGCUAAGCUGCAACUGACAUUGAGGCUCGAAAGUGUGGGUAUCAAACAGGAUUAGAUACCCUGGUAGUCCACACGGUAAACGAUGAAUACUCGCUGUUUGCGAUAUACGGCAAGCGGCCAAGCGAAAGCGUUAAGUAUUCCACCUGGGGAGUACGCCGGCAACGGUGAAACUCAAAGGAAUUGACGGGGGCCCGCACAAGCGGUGGAGCAUGUGGUUUAAUUCGAAGCAACGCGAAGAACCUUACCAGGUCUUGACAUCCGAUGCAUAGCGCAGAGAUGCGUGAAGUCCUUCGGGACAUCGAGACAGGUGGUGCAUGGUUGUCGUCAGCUCGUGCCGUGAGGUGUCGGCUUAAGUGCCAUAACGAGCGCAACCCUUGUUGUCAGUUACUAACAGGUGAUGCUGAGGACUCUGACAAGACUGCCAUCGUAAGAUGUGAGGAAGGUGGGGAUGACGUCAAAUCAGCACGGCCCUUACGUCCGGGGCUACACACGUGUUACAAUGGCCGGUACAAUGAGCCGCCAACUCGCGAGAGUGAGCAAAUCUCUAAAAGCCGGUCUCAGUUCGGAUUGCAGUCUGCAACUCGACUGCAUGAAGUCGGAAUCGCUAGUAAACGCAGAUCAGCACGCUGCGUUGAAUACGUUCCCGGGCCUUGUACACACCGCCCGUCAAGCCAUGGGAGCCGGGGGUACCUGAAGUGCGUAACCGCGAGGAUCGCCCUAGGGUAAAACUGGUGACUGGGGCU